GACGAACGCUGGCGGCGUGCUUAACACAUGCAAGUCGAACGGAAAGGCCCUGCUUUUGUGGGGUGCUCGAGUGGCGAACGGGUGAGUAACACGUGAGUAACCUGCCCUUGACUUUGGGAUAACUUCAGGAAACUGGGGCUAAUACCGGAUAGGAGCUCCUGCUGCAUGGUGGGGGUUGGAAAGUUUCGGCGGUUGGGGAUGGACUCGCGGCUUAUCAGCUUGUUGGUGGGGUAGUGGCUUACCAAGGCUUUGACGGGUAGCCGGCCUGAGAGGGUGACCGGCCAAAUUGGGACUGAGAGACGGCCCAGACUCCUACGGGAGGCAGCAGUGGGGAAUAUUGCACAAUGGGCGGAAGCCUGAUGCAGCAACGCCGCGUGCGGGAUGACGGCCUUCGGGUUGUAAACCGCUUUCGCCUGUGACGAAGCGUGAGUGACGGUAAUGGGUAAAGAAGCACCGGCUAACUACG
rnacentral:rRNA from 1 species